rnacentral:snoRNA from 1 species
AACCCAUGGUGAAUGCAUCUUUUUAAAAGGUCCUUGUAUCUCUCUUACGCAUCGUAGAGUGUUUCUAAAUCCAUCUGUACAAAAGAAGAGAUGUCAUUACGUAAUUU